ACAUAUAUCAUUAUCUCCUCCGUUUCUUUCCCCCAAUCCCAAGCAUUCCCUCUUUCGUUCUCUUUCUAAAAUCUUAAUUGAACAGUGGCAAUCAAUGAGUUACUCUUUCUCUCUCUCUCUCUCUCUAUUUGCUAGCCUUCUCCUCCAUCGGCCUUGAAGACAAAAUUUGCAAGAUUAAUACCUAGCUAUGGCUAAAUCCCAAUCUCGUCAUGGAUUUUGCUCAGUUACGAUCAAUUUCAGCAACAUUUUCGAGAAAUUCACCGUAAAUUUUGUUCAUUUUCAGGUCGUUGUUCGUGAAGUGAAGGCAUGGGAUCGACCGAGCGCGACUCAUUUCUCCGAGUAAUUUUGUUCUACACCGAAUGAAACCCUAGCUUUGCUCUUGAGAGAAAUUGCUGCAGAAUUUUCUUCGAGUCUUUGUCGGAGCUCUGUCGAUCUAAAUAUGAGGUUGUUGCAAAACAAUAGCAUUUCAGGUCAUAUUCCUCUAGAAAUGGUACCUGUUGUAUCUCAGGGUCUUUGAAAGAAGUAGCAUGGAAUCUGCAAUUUUUGGCUUUCCAAGAAACUUUCCUUCUGGAAGACUUCUUUUCAAAGCUUGAAUGAAAAUGUGUUCUGCUCUCAUGAAGUCACUGUCACUUUCAGGUACUUGGCAACAAUCUUAGUGGACCUAUUCCCAAAUUUCCAGCCAGAGCAUUUAAGUAUGUCUUCACUAUCAUGUUAACUUCAGGGGGUUCUCAUUUAUUUGAUCUUUUCUUUCAAAAUUGUACUGGAGUUUCUGAAAUAUUUCACCUUAUUUUCAGAGAGAAAACAAAAGCAGACAUCUCAAAAUGAAGAAAUUUCUCUGGGAAUUCCUAUUCAUUUUAAUGUCUCUGCAUUGGAAUCAGAUAUUGCAGACAUCUUCGGGGAUGUUAAGCUGCAGCACAAAAGCCUAAAGGAGAAAGUGAAGGAUUGCAACAAGAAGGAACCACCAUACAAAGAAGAAAAGGAGUAGGACUACUCGCAAAUGACUUGCUUGAGAUAGUGGAAAAGUUUCUGGAAAAUGAGCAGGACUACUUGCAAAUGACUUGCUUAAAUUCUUCAUCUCUCACCUUGCAAUUUUAUGGAAUGUGGUUCUAUUGGGUUGUGGAUGUUGGUUACUUUCCCAAAUUAGGAAGUGAAUUGAUUGCUGACCUUUUUACACUCUGGUGUUCAAGCAUGGUAAUGACUAUAUUUUUUUGUGUUAUUUCGGGAUUUUGAGACGUGAAGAUACUUUUGAGAGACGUUUGAUGAAUUUGUGCUUUUCAAGACAAGCACUUCUGGGGAUAUGUGAAAUAUCUUGUCAUUGUAAUGAACUUAUUACAUUACAAGGAAGUUCAUCCUUUUUUUUUUCUUUUCAAAAUGAUGACAUGCGAUAAAGUUUGUAAAAUUUGACUGAAGCAAUGUAUGAUACUUUGUUCUAGUA